GGUGCUUUGGCUGAGUGGUCUAUAGCGAUAGACUAGAAUAUUAUCUAGAGAUAUCUAUUUCCCUAGGGAGCGCAGGUUCAAAUCCUGCAGGCAUCG